rnacentral:SRP_RNA from 1 species
GAAGGCUGGCGGCGGGCGGUGCCCUCGCCAACCCGGUCAGGUCCGGAAGGAAGCAGCCGUAACGAGUUCGCUCCGGGUCGCCUGUCCAGUCUUCCAC